CCUACGGGUGGCAGCAGUGGGGAAUAUUGCACAAUGGGGGAAACCCUGAUGCAGCGACGCCGCGUGAGUGAAGAAGUAAUUCGUUAUGUAAAGCUCUAUCAGCAGGGAAGAAAAUGACGGUACCUGACUAAGAAGCACCGGCUAACUACGUGCCAGCAGCCGCGGUAAUACGUAGGGUGCAAGCGUUAUCCGGAUUUACUGGGUGUAAAGGGAGCGUAGGCGGCCUUGUAAGUCAGCAGUGAAAGGCGGGGGCUCAACCCCCGGACUGCUCUGGAAACUGUGCGGCUGGAGUGCAGGAGAGGUAGGUGGAAUUCUUGGUGUAGGGGUGAAAUGCGUAGAUAUUAGGAGGAAUACCAGUGGCGAAGGCGGCUUACUGGACUGUAACUGACGUUGAGGCUCGAAAGCGUGGGGAGCAAACAGGAUUAGAUACCCGAGUAGUC
rnacentral:rRNA from 1 species